CCUACGGGUGGCAGCAGUGGGGAAUAUUGCACAAUGGGGGAAACCCUGAUGCAGCGACGCCGCGUGAGUGAAGAAGUAUUUCGGUACGUAAAGCUCUAUCAGCAGGGAAGAAAAUGACGGUACCUGACUAAGAAGCCCCGGCUAACUACGUGCCAGCAGUCGCGGUAAUACGUAGGGGGCAAGCGUUAUCCGGAUUUACUGGGUGUAAAGGGAGCGUAGACGGCAGCGCAAGUCUGGAGUGAAAUCCCAUGGCUUAACCAUGGAACUGCUUUGGAAACUGUGCAGCUAGAGUGCAGGAGAGGUAAGCGGAAUUCCUAGUGUAGCGGUGAAAUGCGUAGAUAUUAGGAGGAACACCAGUGGCGAAGGCGGCUUACUGGACUGUAACUGACGUUGAGGCUCGAAAGCGUGGGGAGCAAACAGGAUUAGAUACCCCAGUAGUC
rnacentral:rRNA from 1 species